UACGUAGGGGGCGAGCGUUGUCCGGAAUCAUUGGGCGUAAAGCGCGCGCAGGCGGCCGCGCGAGCCCGGCGUGAAAGCCCCCGGCUCAACCGGGGGAGGCCGUCGGGGACCUCGUGGCUGGAGGCCGGCGGGGGUGAGUGGAAUUCCCGGUGUAGUGGUGGAAUGCGUAGAGAUCGGGAGGAACACCAGUGGCGAAGGCGGCUCACUGGGCCGGACCUGACGCUGAGGCGCGAAAGCGUGGGGAGCGAUCCGG
rnacentral:rRNA from 1 species